AGCGAACGCUGGCGGCAGGCUUAACACAUGCAAGUCGAACGCCCCGCAAGGGGAGUGGCAGACGGGUGAGUAACACGUGGGAACGUACCCUUUGGUUCGGAAUAACUUGGGGAAACUCAAGCUAAUACCGGAUAAGCCCUUAUGGGGAAAGGUUUACUGCCGAAGGAUCGGCCCGCGUCUGAUUAGCUAGUUGGUGAGGUAAUGGCUCACCAAGGCGACGAUCAGUAGCUGGUCUGAGAGGAUGAUCAGCCACACUGGGACUGAGACACGGUCCAGUCUCCUACGGGAGGCAGCGGUGGGGAAUAUUGGAGAAUGGGAUCAACCCUGAUCCAGCCACGCCGCGUGAGUUAUGCAUGCCUUAGGGUUGUACGGCUCUUUUACCCGGGGCGAUGAUGGCUGUACCGGGAGAAUAAGCCCCGGCUAACUUCGUGCAAGCCGCCGCCGUAA
rnacentral:rRNA from 1 species